AAUCGAACUCGGAGAUAGCUGGUUCUCCCCGAAAUAGCUUUAGGGCUAGCGUCGAGGUAAAGUCGUGUGAAGGUAGAGCACUGAAUAUGUGAUGGCCCCAUCUCGGGGUACUGAACAUAAUCAAACUCCGAAUGUCACAAAGAUAUACUCGGCAGUCAGACAGUGGGUGAUAAGGUCCAUUGUCAAAAGGGAAACAGCCCAGACCAUCAGCUAAGGUCCCAAAAUAUAUACUAAGUGGAAAAGGAUGUGGAGAUGUCCAGACAACUAGGAGGUUGGCUCAGAAGCAGCCAUCCUUUAAAGAGUGCGUAACAGCUCACUAGUCGAAUGACUCUGCGCCGAUAAUUUACCGGGGCUAAGUAUAUUACCGAAGCUAUGGAUUUACGCGUAAGCGUGAGUGGUAGGGGAGCGUUCUAUGUGCGGAGAAGCGGUACCGUAAGGAGCCGUGGAGCGCAUAGAAGAGAGAAUGCCGGUGUGAGUAGCGAAACGUGGGUGAGAAUCCCACGCACCGAAAACCCAAGGUUUCCAGAGGAAGGUUCGUCCGCUCUGGGUAAGUCGGGACCUAAGGCGAGGCCGAGAGGCGUAGUCGAUGGACAACAGGUAGAGAUUCCUGUACUUACGGUAUGAAUGAUGGAGUGACGGAGAAGGCUAGCGGAUCCUGCUGAUGGAAAUGCAGGUGCAAGCGAGGUAGCCGACAGCCAGGCAAAUCCGGCUGUCGAAAGGCAAAGGCGUGAGGCGUAUGGAAAGCUGCGGCAAGUACAGAAGUCCGUGAAGCCAGCUUCCAAGAAAAGCUUCUAGUGAUAAUCAUACAGUAACCCGUACCGAAAAUGGACACACAUGGGUGAGGAGAGAAUCCUAAGGUGAGCGAGAGAACUAUAGCUAAGGAACUCUGCAAAAUGACUCCGUAACUUAGGGAUAAGGAGUGCUCAUAGAGAUAUGAGCCGCAGUGAAACGGCCCAAGCGACUGUUUACCAAAAACACAGCUCUAUGCUAAGUCGAAAGACGACGUAUAUGGGGUGACGCCUGCCCGGUGCUGGAAGGUUAAGAGGAUGUGUCAGCGCAAGCGAAGCAUUGAAUUGAAGCCCCAGUAAACGGCGGCCGUAACUAUAACGGUCCUAAGGUAGCGAAAUUCCUUGUCAGGUAAGUUCUGACCCGCACGAAAGGCGUAACGAUUUGGGCGCUGUCUCAGCUGUAGACUCGGUGAAGUCUUAGUACCUGUGAAGAUGCAGGUUACCCGCGACUAGACGGAAAGACCCCAUGGAGCUUUACUGUAGCUUGAUAUUGGACUUUGAUGCAAGAUGUACAGGAUAGGUAGGAGACUGAGAGACAUGCACGCCAGUGUGUGAGGAGUCAAUGUUGGGAUACUACUCUUCUUGUAUUGGAGUUCUAACCGGAUGCCAUGGAACUGGCAACGGGACAGUGUCAGGUGGGCAGUUUGACUGGGGCGGUCGCCUCCCAAAGAGUAACGGAGGCGCCCAAAGAUACCCUCAGCUUGGAUGGAAAUCAAGCGCAGAGUGCAAAGGCAUAAGGGUGUUUGACUGCGAGACCUACAAGUCGAGCAGGGACGAAAGUCGGGCUUAGUGAUCCGGCGGUGCUGAAUGGAAAGGCCGUCGCUCAACGGAUAAAAGCUACCCUGGGGAUAACAGGCUGAUCUCCCCCAAGAGUUCACAUCGACGGGGAGGUUUGGCACCUCGAUGUCGGCUCAUCGCAUCCUGGAGCUGAAGUCGGUUCCAAGGGUUGGGCUGUUCGCCCAUUAAAGCGGUACGCGAGCUGGGUUCAGAACGUCGUGAGACAGUUCGGUCCCUAUCUGUCGUGGGCGUAGGAAGUUUGAGAAGAUCUGUCCUCAGUACGAGAGGACCGGGAUGGACAUAUCAAUGGUGCACCAGUUGUCACGCCAGUGGCACAGCUGGGUAGCUAAAUAUGGAAGGGAUAAACGCUGAAGGCAUCUAAGUGUGAAACCCACUUCAAGAUGAGACUUCCCAUUACGCAAGUAAGUAAGACCCCUUAAAGACGAUAAGGUUGA
rnacentral:rRNA from 1 species